AGAAGAGGGAGGCUGCCUUUGACAGGAAUGGCAUCACCCUUCAACCCCCCCUUUACAACUGAAAGGGAUUAAAGGAUGUCUAGACUUUUUGUGGUCUUGCUGAUCUGUCCUUUAGGAACUGAUGUUUGCUGGGAAAAAUCCUCCUGUCAGACACUGGGAGGCAGUCGCUCUGUCUGUGGGGACUUGUGAUGGAAGCCAGAGGGUCACUGGUUCAACUCCUGUGGAAAGGUGCCAGUUGACUUGGGCCCUGCCGAGGUUCAACAAACCCUGUGUGCAAGCUCCUCACUCUGCAUCUCAUUACAUCCUGUUUGAGAAUGUUUGAGUGUAUUUCAGCCUUAAACAUAGAUACUUGUAUCUCUCCAGUGUGAUGUCAAUUUAUAAAACAGUGUUUUGUCAUCCAGUGUGUUACAAAAGGAUUAACUCUGGAUCCACCGAAUCAAUAAAGGACAUCUAAACUCA